rnacentral:rRNA from 1 species
UACGAACUGUGCAAACGUUAUUCGGAAUCACUGGGCUUACAGGGUGCGUAGGCGGCUUGUUAAGUAGGGUGUGAAAGCCCCCGGCUCAACCGGGGAAUGGCGCCCUAAACUGGCGAGCUGGAGUGAGAUAGGGGUGUGCGGAACUUCCGGUGGAGCGGUGAAAUGUGUUGAUAUCGGAAGGAACGCCGGUGGCGAAAGCGGCACACUGGAUCUCAACUGACGCUGAGGCACGAAAGCCAGGGGAGCGAACGGG